UCUGGUUGAUUCUGCCAGUAGCAUAUGCUUGUCUCAAAGACUAAGCCAUGCAAGUCUAAGUACACACGGCCGGUACAGUCAAACUGCGAAUGGCUCAUUAAAUCAGUUAUGGUUCCUUUGAUCGCUCCCACUUCUACUUGGAUAACUUUGGCAAUUCUAGAGCUAAUACAUGCCAACGAGCGCUGACCACCAGGUGAUGCGCGCAUUUAUCAGUCCCAAAACCCAUGCGGGGUGCCCCGCUCCCUCCCCGGGGGCGGGCCCCCGGCCGCUUUGACGACUCUGGAUAAACUCGAGCCGAUCGCUGGCCCCCCGUGGCGGCGACGUCUCAUUCGAAUGUCUGCCCUAUCAACUUUCGAUGGUACUUUCUGUGCCUACCAUGGUGACCACGGGUAACGGGGAAUCAGGGUUCGGUUCCGGAGAGGGAGCCUGAGAAACGGCUACCACAUCCAAGGAAGGCAGCAGGCGCGCAAAUUACCCACUCCCGACUCGGGGAGGUAGUGACGAAAAAUAACAAUACAGGACUCUUUCGAGGCCCUGUAAUUGGAAUGAGUACACUUUAAAUCCUUUAACGAGGCACU
rnacentral:rRNA from 1 species